UCUUAUUCAAUUUUAAAAAGUUCUUCCCAAAUUAAAAACUGACAUGUGGCAAUUAUAUAAUAAAAUAAUACAAAGCAUAGUAGAAAUAAAUGGAGGAAAUAAACACAUUACAGUAGCCAUGUGAAAAGAACGAUGUGUAGAACUGUAACAUGGAAAUGCGGCGGAAAAGUAGCGCUCCAAACAGUGUUCCUCAAAAUUGACUUUUUUGGAUAAGCGCUUCUCAAACGUGCUUCUGAACAAACUCACGAUUCCGCGACGCAACAACGAUCGAAUCCUAUCAUGAUCUCCUCGGUUUCGGCUCGUUUGUGUUCAUGGCAAGACUUGGAUUCUCACGGUAGUCGUCCACACAAGAUGAAAAGAAAGGAAAAUACAUAAACAAGCAUACAAAGAUAACUCAAACAAGCAACCAAGUAUAGAAGGCACAAAAGAGCAAGCAUUCAUGGAGUGAUAAAAAAAGUUUGAGGCUUAUCGAUCGGAGAUCCUUUGAUGGUUCUUCAGUGGCGCCGUCAAUUCAAUAUGGUAAGCAAUUCUUCAAUUUGUAUUUAUUUCUUCUUCAUCCCCUUUCUUUUCUUUCAUUUGCUUUCUUGUUGUUGUUGAUUUUUUGGUGCUUGAAUCAUGAAAAACUAUGAGAUGAAGUAUGGUGAGGGUUUAUGCUCAAGUUGAUUGAAGUUUCAAUGUGAAGCUUCAACAACCAUGGAUUUGAGCUCUAGUAAGGGAAGGUUGAAGAAUGAAGAAUGGAGAGUGAAACCUUGAGAGAAAGUGAAGAAUGAGUAGUAUCAAAAAAUAAAGAAAAAGCCCCUUAGUGAGUGAAUGAUGAAUGCUUAUAUAGAACUAGGUGAGGGAUGAUUAGAGGUUGAUAAUUGGUUAGAAAUUAUUUAGAACUGUUUUGGACAAUUUGGGAAAUUGCCCAAAGUAGUUAGAAGUUAGUUUGUUGAAGUUUAAGUUAGUUAGGGUGGUUAAAGCAUAGAUGUAUGUGAAUUCACUUGCAUGUGCAUAUGUUGAACUUUUAGUGAAUAUGAAGGAAAUUGGAUGAAUUU